CUUCAAAUGCUAUCAAAAUAGCUCUAGUGACCACCAAAUGGCACCGUAUAUAAUUCUAUUGACUGUCUAAUACAGUUCUUAUCAACUGGGUGAAAAUCUCCAUGGAGGGAAAAACAU